CAGCACCCCGAGUGGUCGGGACGAUUAUUGGGCCUAAAGCAUCCGUAGCCGGUUCUACAAGUCUUCCGUUAAAUCCAUCUGCUUAACAGAUGGGCUGCAGAGGAUACUAUAGAGCUAGGAGGCGGGAGAGGCAAGCGGUACUUAGUGGGUAGGGGUAAAAUCCGUUGAUCCACUGAAGACCACCAGUGGCGAAGGCGGCUUGCCAGAACGCGCUCGACGGUGAGGGAUGAAAGCUGGGGGAGCAAACCGGAUUAGAUACCCGGGUAGUCCCAGCUGUAAACGAUGCAGACUCGGUGAUGAAUAGGCUUCGUGCCUAUUCAGUGCCGCAGGGAAGCCGUUAAGUCUGCCGCCUGGGGAGUACGGUCGCAAGACUGAA
rnacentral:rRNA from 1 species